rnacentral:snoRNA from 1 species
CGACGUCGGUUCCUCCUCCUGGCUGCAGUGAAUCAGGAGGAUUUUACGACGUCGCAGAGAAAUCUGGGUCUUUUUCACCCGGGAAGCUUCAGGCUGUAGCCAAAACUUAAAACUGCUUCCUGGUUUUGCGGGACCCAACAAAG